rnacentral:rRNA from 4 species
AAACUUUCGACCUGAGC